rnacentral:lncRNA from 1 species
UGGACAUUCUGACAUGUCUAUUCAUGGACCAGGUUUCUUUAACACUCUCAUUUCUCUCCAGACUUCUCAUUUCUAAAUUCUUAUGUGGAGGCUCUUGCCAAUGUGCAGUAAAUGAACUGAAUUUCAAACGGCUCCUAGGACAUGGAAGCAUACUGAAUUCAGAAAUGUACUACACGCUCUUGCUCCUGCUUCCUCUUGCUUUCUCUUGUCCCUUUGUCCCUUCUCUCCCCAUUCCCUUCUCCCUCUCUCCAGGUGCUCAUGGCCGGCCUCUACUCUUCUAUUUCUCUGCUCUCUUUCUCUGCCCUACUACCCUCUUAACUCCCCUCCCCCUGCCCUGAAUAAACUCUAUUCUGUACUAAAAAAAAAAAAAAAAA